AGCCAGGCCCUACGCUAGCGUCCGCCGCCUAAAUCCGCCAGGUCCGGAAGGAAGCAACGGUACGCGGAUGGGCGUUGUGCCGUAGUCAGCCUGGCUACG
rnacentral:SRP_RNA from 1 species